CUGUGAGCUAGACCAGGACCCAAGGCGUCAGAAAACACUCUCGUGAGAUGCGAGCCCGGACACAGCGACUUCCUAACCGAAGAACACCCUGUUGAGUCCUUCCCACCCCCCUCUUCACCUUUCUGGAAAGUCCCCUGUGGCCUUGUGCAAAUUCAAACUAAACUGUCUUGGAUUGAAGAUGCAGACCUACUCUUUCCAACGGCCUCAGAAGCCUGGGGACAGUCUGUCCCCAUCACCUUAUACCUCCAUUUGUAGGUUAACAGAUACUAAGCCAGCUGCAAACGUUUAGAAGCAGCCUUCUCAUAAGGUUCUUGAACUUUUACAUGGUAUCUGAGUUCCUGAUAAAAGGUAAUAUGAAAAAACAAAAAGGCAUCCCCACCCCCAUCGCUCCCUCCCUCAAAUUACAGGUGGAAACAGUCCCAGUUCUAUUGGUUUAAAGCAGUUGACUUUGGACUAAUCUUAACACAGUCUGCCGCCAUUUUACUCCGAAUGCAAGAGUCUUCUAAUGCAAGAAAAGAAUUAAUGAAAAAGUAAAACUUAUAACCCACGGUACGUCUGGCAAAACGGAAAAGUUAGCAUUGGCUCACCCCUGUUCACUAAACUACAGAUUUAUCUGAAUUCCACGCCUUUUCUCUUUUU